rnacentral:lncRNA from 1 species
AUGAUUUUUUUUUUUACGAUGCCUGAGUCAGUGUCUGUAAUAGGCAAGUAUUGUCUUUUGUUCUUGUAGUUUGAUUCAAGAUAGGAUAGAAGAUGCAGGGUGCAAUGGUUCACACCUGUAAUUUCAGCAAAUCAAGAGGCUGAGGCAGAAGGAUCACAAGUUGAAGUCAGCCUCAGUAACUUAGUGAGACCCUGUUUCAAAAUAAAAAGGGUUGGGGAUGUGGCUCAGUUGUAGAGGGCCCUGGGUUCAAUCCCUAGUAUUGAUUAAAAAAUAAAUAAAUAAAAAAGAGAGAGAGGGAGAGAGAUAGGAUAGAGGAUUUUGUACAGGGUGAAACUACUUAUGGAAGUAGUAAACGCAGCAGUGUUAGUCAUUUCACAAGUACAUUAUAUGUACAUGUGUGCCUUCAGGGUCAAUGAUAUGCAUAUUGCUAUUUGUAGUUACAAGCUCUAGUCCAGUUAAUGUCAGUUUAAUAAAUGGUCUGUUAGUGGGCCAAAGAAAUAUAGGGUAAAUACUUGACCAAUUUUUUUAAACUUAAAUUUGUGUAAGAUAUUUAUUUGAGG